rnacentral:rRNA from 1 species
AGGACGAACGCUGGCGGCGUGCCUAAUACAUGCAAGUCGAACGGUCUUUCUAUGGAAGCUUGCUUCCACUGAGAAGAUAGUGGCGAACGGGUGAGUAACACGUGGGUAACCUGCCCAUAAGAGGGGGGAUAACAUCCGGAAACGGGUGCUAAUACCGCAUAGUUUUCUUGAUCGCAUGAUUGAGAAAGGAAAGACGGCCUUUGUGCUGUCGCUUAUGGAUGGACCCGCGGCGUAUUAGUUAGUUGGUGAGGUAACGGCUCACCAAGACGAUGAUACGUAGCCGACCUGAGAGGGUGAUCGGCCACAUUGGGACUGAGACACGGCCCAAACUCCUACGGGAGGCAGCAGUAGGGAAUCUUCCGCAAUGGACGAAAGUCUGACGGAGCAACGCCGCGUGAGUGAAGAAAGGUUUUCGGAUCGUAAAACUCUGUUGUCAGAGAAGAACAAGUUGGAGAGUAACUGCUCCAGCCUUGACGGUAUCUGACCAGAAAGCCACGGCUAACUACGUGCCAGCAGCCGC